ACCCGCGCCCCAAGUGGUGGUCGAUAUUAUUGAGCCUAAAACGUCCGUAGCCGGUCUUCUAAAUCCUUGGGUAAAUCGGGCAGCUUAACUGUCCGAAGUCCGGGGAGACUGGGAGACUUGGGACCGGGAGAGGUCAGAGGUACUUCUGGGGGUAGGGUAAAAACCCGGAAUCCCGUAGGGGACCACGGGGGCGGAGGGCGCCGACCAGGGUCGAUCCCGACGUGGGGGAAGGAGAGCUGGGGCGCAAACGG
rnacentral:rRNA from 1 species